UGGGGAAUAUUGCACAAUGGGCGCAAGCCUGAUGCAGCCAUGCCGCGUGUGUGAAGAAGGCUUUCGGGUUGUAAAGCACUUUCAGUAGGGAGGAAGGCCUCGUAGUUAAUACCUGCGAGGAUUGACGUUACCUACAGAAGAAGCACCGGCUAACUCAGUGCCAGCAGCCGCGGUAAUACUGAGGGUGCGAGCGUUAAUCGGAAUUACUGGGCGUAAAGCGCGCGUAGGCGGCUUACUAAGCCAGAUGUGAAAGCCCCGGGCUCAACCUGGGAACUGCAUUUGGAACUGGUUCGCUAGAGUACAGUAGAGGGUGGUGGAAUUUCCAGUGUAGCGGUGAAAUGCGUAGAGAU
rnacentral:rRNA from 1 species